rnacentral:rRNA from 1 species
CACGUAGGGCGCGAGCGUUGUCCGGAAUUAUUGGGCGUAAAGAGCUCGUAGGCGGUCUGUCGCGUCGAAUGUGAAAACCCGGGGCUCAACUCCGGGCUUGCAUUCGAUACGGGCAGGCUAGAGUUCGGUAGGGGAGUCUGGAAUUCCUGGUGUAGCGGUGAAAUGCGCAGAUAUCAGGAGGAACACCGGUGGCGAAGGCGGGACUCUGGGCCGAUACUGACGCUGAGGAGCGAAAGCGUGGGGAGCGAACAGG